rnacentral:rRNA from 1 species
CCUACGGGAGGCAGCAGUGGGGAAUAUUGCGCAAUGGGCGAAAGCCUGACGCAGCGACGCCGCGUGAGGGAUGCAGGUCUUCGGAUCGUAAACCUCUGUCAGCAGGGAAGAACGGUCACUGUGCUAAUCAGCAGUGAAUUGACGGUACCUGCAAAGGAAGCAACGGCUAACGCCGUGCCAGCAGCCGCGGUAAUACGGAGGGUGCGAGCGUUAAUCGGAAUUACUGGGCGUAAAGCGCUCGUAGGCGGGAUGUCGGGUCAAGGGUGAAAUACCCGCGCUCAACGUGGGAACUGCCUUUGAAACUGGCAAACUGGAGGGUGGGAGAGGAUAGUGGAAUUCCAGGUGGAGGAGUG